rnacentral:rRNA from 1 species
UAUACAACUUUCAGCAACGGAUCUCUUGGCUCUCGCAUCGAUGAAGAACACAGCGAAAUGCGAUAAGUAAUGUGAAUUGCAGAAUUCAGUGAAUCAUCGAAUCUUUGAACGCACCUUGCGCUCCUUGGUAUUCCGAGGAGCAUGCCUGUUUGAGUGUCAUUAAAUUCUCAAC